GAACAGUGGAACUCCAGGAAAAACUGGUGGCCAGGCUUUCACUUCAGCUAUUUUUGGGCAAGAAAUGAUUGGAAGGAUGACAACGCUUUGGCUUGUGAGAAGGCUCUGGUAGCUGGGAUGCUGUUGGGAAAAAGAUUCUGAGCGGCCUGCCCCGUGCAGGGCUGGAGAGACAGAAGCAAAGUGUGAAUUUCCUGCUCCCUCCCCGCGGGAAUUCUUUGCCAUUUUAAUGGACCACGGCUGCCACCGACAGCAUCACACCCUUGGCCCCGCAGCCGGGCACCCAGCGGCUCAGCAGUCAGGGCGGGCUUCCUGCCAGCUUCUUUUCGAGGGCCCUGGAGGGGACAGGGACACCUUUCAGCGCUUUCGCAAGAGACAGCUCCCCGGCCCCCAGGGACGUGGCUCAGAAACCACCUCCGCGAACCCGGUGAGAGGAGGGCGGAGAAGAAGGAAGGAGACACGAGCAGGGGCGGAGGGAGCCCCGCGCAGAGCCGGAGCCCGACCCGAGAGAGCGCAGCGCUCGCGCGCCCCCACGAUGCUCGCCGCUCCCAGCCGUGCGCGGAGUCCGCAGGCCCCCUGGCUCCUGAGCGCUUCUCGAAUUCUCUGCCUCUGCCUCGCAGUCGUGCUGGGCUGGGCGGGCUUGCUCCAGGGACACCCCCAGUGUCUGGAUUACGGGCCCCCCUUCCAGCCCCUCCUGCCCCUGGAGUUUUGCUCUGACUAUGACAACUUCGGCUGCUGUGACCAGCGCAAGGACCGCCGCAUCGCUGCCCGGUACUGGGACAUCAUGGAAUACUUCGACCUAAAGGGCCACGAGCUGUGCGGAGGCUACAUUAAGGACAUCCUUUGCCAGGAGUGCUCGCCCUACGCCGCGCACCUGUACGAUGCUGAGAACCCGCGGACGCCGCUCCGGAACCUUCCCGGGCUCUGCUCUGACUACUGCUCUGCCUUCCACUCCAACUGCCACUCUGCCAUCUCCCUGCUGACCAGCGACCGCCGCCUCCAGCAGUCCCAUCAGAAGGAUGGUGCCCGCUUCUGCCACCUCCUCAAUCUCCCGGACCAGGACUACUGCUUCCCCAACGUCCUGAGGAGCAACCAUCUCACCGGCAAGCUGGGGGUGGUGGCCGAGGACCCUCGGGGCUGCCUGCAGCUCUGCCUGGCCGAGGUGGCCAACGGGCUGAGGAACCCGGUCUCCAUGGUCCAUGCGGGGGACGGCACCCACCGCCUCUUCGUGGCCGAGCAGGUGGGGGUGGUGUGGGUCUUUCUGCCCGACGGGAGUCGCCUGGAACAGCCCUUCUUGGACCUCAAGAGCAUCGUGCUGAGCUCUCCGUGGAUUGGGGAUGAGAGGGGCUUCCUGGGGUUGGCUUUUCAUCCUCAGUUCCGCCGCAACCGCAAGUUCUACAUUUAUUAUUCAUGCCUGGGCAAGAAGAGGGCAGAGAAGAUCCGGAUUAGUGAGAUGAAGGUGUCCCGGGCUGAUCCCAACAAAGCUGAUCCCAAAUCAGAGAGGGUCAUCUUGGAGAUAGAAGAACCAGCCUCCAAUCAUAACGGGGGACAGCUGCUUUUUGGCCUGGAUGGCUAUAUGUACAUAUUCACUGGGGAUGGAGGGCAGGCUGGGGACCCCUUCGGCAAGUUUGGAAAUGCUCAGAACAAAAGCUCCCUGCUGGGAAAAGUGUUAAGGAUUGAUGUGAACGGAGCAGGCUCAGGGGGCCAGCGCUACCGAGUCCCCCGGGACAAUCCGUUUGUCUCUGAGCCAGGGGCCCAUCCUGCCAUCUACGCCUACGGGAUCAGAAACAUGUGGCGCUGUGCCGUGGACCGAGGGGACCCCGUCACACGCAAGGGCCGAGGACGGAUGUUCUGCGGGGACGUGGGACAGAACAGGUUUGAAGAAAUUGACAUCAUUGUUAAAGGCGGAAACUACGGCUGGAGGGCGAAGGAAGGGUUCGAAUGUUAUGACAAGACGCUUUGUCACAACUCCUCCUUGGAUGACAUUCUGCCCAUCUAUGCCUAUGGCCACGCGGUGGGGAAGUCAGUUACCGGAGGGCACGUGUACCGAGGCUGUGAAUCCCCAAAUCUCAAUGGGCUCUACAUCUUCGGAGACUUCAUGAGCGGUCGGCUUAUGGCUUUGCAGGAAGAUAGAAGAACCAAGAAAUGGAAGAAACGGGACAUUUGCCUGAGCAACACUGAGUCCUGUGCCUUCCCAGGGCUGAUCAGCACAUACAGCAAGUUUAUCAUCUCCUUUGCUGAAGACGAAGCAGGGGAGCUCUACUUCCUGGCCACCUCUUACCCAAGUGCCUACGCAGCGCGCGGAUCCAUUUACAAAUUCGUCGACCCAUCCAGUCUGGGAUCAUCUGACCGUGGGUGAACGCUACUGCCCAGGUUCUGCUCUGCUUACUUAGCCCGUCUGCGCUAAAUGCACUCGCCCAACAUUUUAAGGAGCGGUUGGUUUAUUUAUGCAUGAUUUCCCCUUCCAUUUUUUCCUCCUGCCCUUUCCUUAGAAUCACAGACCCUGGAUGCGGGGUCUCAACUGUGGCUUUGCCACUAACAAGCCAUGGGACCUUGGAUCUGUCUCUUAACCUUUGCACACCUCCGUUUCCCUCUUUCAAAUGAGGAUCAGUGUCACCUACAGCUCCGGUUCCACCCCUGGCCCGGGCACUUUCAUAUGCUGCGGGUGCAGCUGUUAGAAAAAAUAAAAUAAAAAGUUGUGUAUCAGUCAUGUACGAUGUGCCAAGUACACAGUUUUUAUUGAAUCCUCAUCUCUCUCUAUUACUUUUGCUAUUUUAUAGACGUGAAAGUUGAAACCUAGCCAAGUUUUCCUGCCCGCGGUCCCCAGGAUUUGAACUCAGUCCUCUGCCGCCUACACCACCCUGGGUGGUAGUGGCCCUGGGUGUCCCUGUCUGUUCUCCUCUCUGUCAGAGCUCAUCCCAGAUUCCUCCUCCGUCCAUCCCACCCCUAUGGAUAAAGGGGGGCUGAACCCAAGUCUUGCAAACGCACGCCUCCUGCUGACCUUGAGUUCCUGGUCCCGUCUUCAGAGUCCUGGGUCCUCACGUUUUCUAUCUGUUUUUAGGCGAGCACCUCCGGGAAAGUGCACAUACAAGCCGGUGCCGGUGAAAAUCAAGAGUAAGCGGAUCCCAUUCAGGCCACUAGCCAAGACGGUCUUGGACUUGCUAAAGGAGCAAGCUGAAGAAGCUGCUAGAAAAUCAUCCAACGCAACUGUAACUUCCAGGCCAGACCGGGCCUCCUCUCGGAAAGGCCCCUCCAAGAAGCCAGCUUCCCCCACAAGCAGCAGGAAGCCGUUUCCUCGGCCUGGGGCAAAGAAGCGAGUGUGGUCCCCAGGCCCCCAGGGGAGGAGGAAGCAGAGCCCCAAGACCCCCCCAGGCAGAGGGGCACAGCGGCAGCGAGCUGGCAGGAGCCUCCCUCUGAUGCUUCCGUCAAGGUGGUGGGUCAGGGGAUGAGCUUCCAGUUUGCCCCUGGGGAACUGCUGCUGCUGCUGCUGCUGCUGCUGCACAUGACCUUAGACACCUGGGAAGCUGGGGUGCAGGCGAGGACCAGUGGUGAGAGCUUGACCUUGGGCUGCGCAGUGGUCUUCUCCUCAAGAACCUUGUCCUCUGACCUGACCGGAUGCCCCAUGUCCGCUUCUGCAGCGAGACCAAAGCCCAUGUUGCCAGGCUACCUGGCUGCCUGUUUGCCAGUCUGUAAACCCGCUUGGAAGUCCACUGUGUGUCCCUGUUUGUAAGUGCCCGUGACCUAAGGCAAUAAAUCAACACUUGCUCAAAUGGA